CAAGCGAAACCCGAAAAGCUUAUAGAGUAGGGG
ncrna:unclassified sequences DTF805b RNA